rnacentral:rRNA from 1 species
CAUGUCCUUUUGAAUUUAAUUUAAGGUCUAAUCUGCUCAAUGAUAUUUAAAUAGCCGCAGUAUUUUGACUGUGCAAAGGUAGCAUAAUAAUUAGUUUCUUAAUUGGGAGCUGGAAUGAAUGAUUGGACAAGAAAAUUUCUGUCUCUUUCUUAAUAUUAUUGAAUUUUAUUUUUAAGUGAAAAAGCUUAAAUUUUUAUAAAAGACGAGAAGACCCUAUAGAGUUUAAUAAUUAAUUUUAAUAAGAGUUUAGUAUUAUUAUUUAGGAUUAAAUUAUUUGGUUGGGGUGAUUAAAAGAUUAAAAAAAUUCUUUUAUAAAUUUAAUUGAAUAUUUUCAAUUUUUAAAUCUAUAAUUUAUAAAAUUAAAAUAAAUUACCUUAGGGAUAACAGCGUAAUUUUUCUUUAAAGUUCUUAUUAAUAGAAAAGUUUGCGACCUCGAUGUUGGAUUAAAAUUAAUUUUUGGUGCAGUAACUAAAAAAUUAGGUCUGUUCGACCUUUAAAAUUUUACAUGAUCUGAGUUUAGACCGGUGUGAGCCAGGUCGGAUUCUAUCUUUAGAAAUUUUUUAUAUUUUAGUACGAAAGGACCAAAUAUAAAUUAAAUUAAUUGU